rnacentral:rRNA from 1 species
UACGUAGGGGGCAAGCGUUAUCCGGAUUUACUGGGUGUAAAGGGAGCGUAGACGGCUGUGCAAGUCUGGAGUGAAAGGCAUGGGCUCAACCUGUGGACUGCUUUGGAAACUGUGCGGCUUGAGUGUCGGAGAGGCAAGUGGAAUUCCUAGUGUAGCGGUGAAAUGCGUAGAUAUUAGGAGGAACACCAGUGGCGAAGGCGGCUUGCUGGACGAUGACUGACGUUGAGGCUCGAGAGCGUGGGGAGCAAACAGG